UGCAGCACAAUGAGUGCUAAGAGUUUUAACAUGGUGAACUGGGAAAUGGAUGCACUAUCUGGUUUAGUGUCUUGGGAAUCUGAAAGGUUUCUUAGCCUAUGUGGGUUGCUGCAGACUGGCUUGUACAACAGAAAUUCAUCUCUCAUAAUUUUGUGAUCUGGAAGUCCAAGAUCAAGGUGUUGGCAGAUUUGAUUUCACCUGAAGCUGUUCUCCUUGGCUUCCAGAAGCAGACAGAGCUAAAAGCCACGCAGGCAAAGGACUUAAUUGUAGGAGUGGCAAAACUUCAAAGGAGACUCAAGUAUCAGCCAAGGAAACUGGGACCCUUCAGGAUUUUGGAGACACUGUCCGGAUGGAGUAAACAAUGGGAGAAGUGAGGGGGUCAGAGCUGUGCAAAGAUGGACUACAGAAGAUGUUCUUAGCGCCCUACCCAGAAACACAGGGUUCCAUGAAUGCAGCAGCCACGCUGAACUCAUGAGCACUGGUGAGUUUGGGAAGGCUUCUUGGAAGAAGCCACAGUUCAGCAGAGACCAGAAGGUGAGUCGUUGUUUCAGCUGAGCAAAGAGAAGGCGAGAAAACAUCCAGACAGAAGGAGCAAUGUGCCAAGGCCCAGGGUCCUGGAAGAUCUUCAGCAAUUCCAUCUCUUCCUCCUGGGGUAAAGCUCAUCUCCAUUCAACUGUAACAGCCAUUGGACUACAGCCUCAGGCCAGAGGCCAUGGUCCCUUCCUCCCUGCCCCACCCCCUUCCUAUGGCAGAAAUAGAGACCCAGGGAUCCCCUAAAGAAUCAGGACAGGGCAACUUUAGAAAAGCUUUUCUUGAUGUCACUGCGUACAAACAAUUUAGAGAAUGAUUUGUAAAAAUGUAUCAAGAGUCUGCUUAAAAUCCAUUACUGACUUCUCCCUACCUUGAGGGUAAAAUACAAACUCGUUGGCAGGGUACAGGCUGCCUGCCUAACCUGUUGGGUCUCCUGUCCCCUCAUCAGCCCCUGGGAACCCUCUCCAUGACCGCACCUAGACCCCAGCAUUAUCAAGCCACCAGUAACUCCUAGAAUACAUUUUCUCAUGUCGUCCUCAUUUGGAUCUUGCUGUUUUUAUUUAGAAUUUCCAUCCCCAGCCUGUCCACCAGGUUGACAUUUCCUAAGAGUUCCACGUAAUUUGCAAGUAAAUUCCACCCUGACCACGCCCUCUUUCUCAGCACUUAAGUCAUUCCCCAGGGUCCCAUAGGUCUGUUUCUAUCACAAUGGCAGCAGGUAUCCAACUGUAUCACUUAAGUGAUUGUGUUCCCACUUGCCUGUGACCCCCAGGAUGACAGACACUGGCUCCUUUCACCUUUGGAUCCUCGGUGCCUGGCACCGUCUCUGGCCCAU